UGGGGAAUAUUGGACAAUGGGGGCAACCCUGAUCCAGCCAUGCCGCGUGUGUGAAGAAGGUCUUCGGAUUGUAAAGCACUUUAAGUUGGGAGGAAGGGCAGUUACCUAAUACGUGAUUGUCUUGACGUUACCGACAGAAUAAGCACCGGCUAACUCUGUGCCAGCAGCCGCGGUAAUACAGAGGGUGCAAGCGUUAAUCGGAAUUACUGGGCGUAAAGCGCGCGUAGGUGGUUAGUUAAGUUGGAUGUGAAAUCCCCGGGCUCAACCUGGGAACUGCAUUCAAAACUGACUGACUAGAGUAUGGUAGAGGGUGGUGGAAUUUCCUGUGUAGCGGUGAAAUGCGUAGAUAUAGGAAGGAACACCAGUGGCGAAGGCGACCACCUGGACUGAUACUGACACUGAGGUGCGAAAGCGUGGGGAGCAAACAGGAUUAGAUACCCAUGUAGUCCCUGAGCGGGCUGGCAAGGCGCAU
rnacentral:rRNA from 1 species